rnacentral:tRNA from 1 species
GGGGCUGUAGCUCAGUGGUAGAGCACUUGCCUAGCAUGUGUGAGGCACUGGGUUCAAUCCUCAGCACCA